rnacentral:rRNA from 1 species
CCUACGGGUGGCAGCAGUGGGGGAUAUUGCACAAUGGGGGAAACCCUGAUGCAGCGACGCCGCGUGGGUGAAGAAGCGCCUCGGCGCGUAAAGCCCUGUCAGCAGGGAAGAAAAUGACGGUACCUGAAGAAGAAGCCCCGGCUAACUACGUGCCAGCAGCCGCGGUAAUACGUAGGGGGCAAGCGUUAUCCGGAUUUACUGGGUGUAAAGGGGGCGCAGACGGGGAUGCAAUCCGGGAGUGAAAGCCCGGGGCCCAACCCCGGGACUGCUCGUGGAACUGCGUGGCUAGAGUGCAGGAGGGGCAGGCGGAAUUCCUGGUGUAGCGGUGAAAUGCGUAGAUAUCAGGAGGAACACCGGUGGCGAAGGCGGCCUGCUGGACUGCAACUGACGUUGAGGCCCGAAAGCGUGGGGAGCAAACAGGAUUAGAUACCCCAGUAGUC